AUGAACCAACUUCCAGACUCAAUUUCAGGAUACGUGCAUUCUGUAUCACCCAUAAAACUAUCUAAAAUUAAUAGCAAAUACUUCACCGCUUCACUACAAACUGACAGGGACACAUACCACCACACAGUCAUCUUUCAGUGUAAUCAACAAACCUCAUGGAACAAUGCUGCAAGGAACUGCUCCGCAAUCAAACUCAUGAAUGCAAAGAAAGUUCCAAACAGCAAUGACACAAAAUAUGACAUCCAGAGUACCAGCUCUACAACACUCGAAGUGACUCAAGUACCAUUCCCCCAUAAACCCCCAAAGCAACCACACCCCUCCACCAUUGCCGAAAUGAAAACCCUAGAUGCACAGCAUCAUAUCCCCACACUAAAAGCCAAAGUAACAAAGAUCGAGUCUGUUAAAAAUGUGUUUUUUAACAAUACUGAAGCAGAGGUAAUGAACUGUUGGAUAACUGAUGAAACCGGAGGAAUUCAAAUUGCCUUGUGGGACAACUUCAUUACUGAGGUCUAUCAAGGAAAUUCAUAUAACUUUACGAACCUGAUGACAAAAAGGUAUCAACAAAAAACCUUCUUACAAUCAACCAGACACACAACAAUUACACCUUUAAAAAUUCAAAUUUCUACUGGACCACUUCAUCAAAUGUCUGAGGAUGAGAUUUCUCCUCACAAAAACAUCACCUCUGCUUUACAAGGUGUGCAAAUUAAUAUCAGUAAACACUGCCCGAAGUGUGCUACUCUUCAACAAGAUUUUGCUCCACAAUGUGCUUUCCACCGCUGCACAAAGUGCAAAAUGUUAAGGAGUGGCACCGCUUACGUCACAAAACUUGGUGGCAUUUUGGAAUUUAAAGAGAACAAAACUGAGCUCUCUUUAACCAUGUCAAAUUCCAUUUUGAAGAGAUUUUUAACACCACUACUUGACCUGGGCAAAACCGAUGCACAGGACAUCGAACAGAUGUUCCUGGCCAUGAAAAGUUUAACAGUAACAUUUACACAAAACAUGCAGGUUCUACAAAUGCAAGAAACACCCAACGACGAUACUGAUGAGGAGCUUCUUCACAUUGAAGAAACUCAAUUGUCACCAGAACCUGCUGCACUUUUUAUCCCGCAAAAAACUGCAGUAAAAGAAACCAAACAUUCAAACGAUGAACAGUUUCUUCAAAUUGUAGAAACCGAAUCGUCACAAGAACCUGCUGCACUUUUCAUGCCACAAAAAAGACCUGUAACCGAAACCAAACAUUCAUGUAAAAAAACAAAGUGUGAUACAUAG
rnacentral:lncRNA from 1 species